UAUAUUAAAACAACACAGUUUACCAAGUCAAAGUAAUUUAGUGAGGCGUGUUCAUAGCAACUAUCAAUAUACACACCUCCUCAGCCACCAUUUACUGGAAUUGGUGGGAGAAGAGACACACUUUACCAGGCACUGCCUUGAACAGCCCUUACGCGCUGUGUGUGUUCAGGACCCUGCAGUCCAACAUGGCUGCGCCCGCUAGAACUUUAAACUGUGAGGACUUCUCUAUGUUUCAGGAGGUGCUGGGGUUGAUGCGAAA